rnacentral:lncRNA from 1 species
CUUAGGAGCCUCUCAGCCUUUCCAACCAGUCAGCUUAGACUUCUCUCUUAUCCUCUCCCCUUAUAACAUUACUACCAUCAAGAGGAAUGAUUGAAGCUACAAUCAUAUGGCCUCUAUAUUUUGUGCCUACAAUUUUCAGAAAAAUAUUUCCUCUCCAUUUGAAAAAUUAUGUUACCUCCAACAGAGAACUCUAUUUACAUGUGAUCUGAUACACUCACUGCUUUACUGAUUUUAUGAGGAACCAGUGAUAUACCAGAGAACUGAGAAAGAGGGAGUCAAGUAACUGUCAAUGAUGGGGGAAGCAUGCAGCCACCAGGUGCUGCUUCUGCUGCUGUGGCAUCUGCCAUUCUAUCUACUGUGAUCAGCACCAGCCAGAGCAGAUAAUCUAACCUCAAAGAGGAAAGCAAGUAGAAGAUUGCAAAUGCAAGUGGCCUUGAUGCCAGGACCAUGUUUUAGAAGACCAGCACCAGUCGCUGCUCGUUUUGAAGCAAAGAAAACUACUGAGCAAGGUGGUGGGUUUGUUGAAAGGAAGAGACCAGGAAGCAGAAUGCAACUGGUACUGUGGCACUUCAAGCUUCACCUGAAAUAACCAUCAAGAGAGCAAGCAGAUUAAAGAAAAGGGUCAGAACAUGCAAGGGACACC